UACAGAGGUCUCAAGCGUUGUUCGGAUUUAUUGGGCGUAAAGGGCGCGUAGGCGGCGGGGUAAGUCGGGUGUGAAAUCUCAGGGCUCAACCCUGAAACUGCACUUGAUACUGCUCUGCUUGAGGACUGGAGAGGAGACUGGAAUUCACGGUGUAGCAGUGAAAUGCGUAGAUAUCGUGAGGAAGACCAGUGGCGAAGGCGGGUCUCUGGACAGUUCCUGACGCUGAGGAGCGAAAGCCAGGGGAGCAAACGGG
rnacentral:rRNA from 1 species